GCCCGGUUAGCUCAGCCGGUAGAGCGUUGGACUUUUAAUCCAAAGGACAAGGUUUCAAGUCCCUUAUCGGGCU
rfam:Ciona savignyi cont_37030, whole genome shotgun sequence.